GUACAAGAGAAGCUCUCUGAAGGUUCUGGGGACGGUCGGCGAGCCCAUCAACCCCGAGGCCUGGCAGUGGUACUACAACGUGGUCGGGGAGAAGAGGUGCCCGAUAGUCGACACCUUCUGGCAGACGGAAACGGGAGGACAUGUUCUGACUCCUCUGCCCGCGGCCACGCCCAUGAAGCCUGGAUCUGCUACGCUCCCGUUCUUCGGCGUGGUGCCGGCCAUCCUGAACGAGUCUGGGGAGGAGCUGGAGGGGCCCAGCGAAGGAUACCUGGUGUUCAAGCAGCCGUGGCCCGGCGUGAUGCGCACCGUUUACGGAAACCACGAGAGGUUUGAAAGCACCUACUUCAAGAAGUUUCCAGGAUACUACGUCACAGGAGACGGU